GCUAGCUACAGGCUUAACACAUGCAAGUCGAGGGGCAGCAUGGUCUUAGCUUGCUAAGGCCGAUGGCGACCGGCGCACGGGUGAGUAACACGUAUCCAACCUGCCGUCUACUCUUGGACAGCCUUCUGAAAGGAAGAUUAAUACAAGAUGGCAUCAUGAGUCCGCAUGUUCACAUGAUUAAAGGUAUUCCGGUAGACGAUGGGGAUGCGUUCCAUUAGAUAGUAGGCGGGGUAACGGCCCACCUAGUCUUCGAUGGAUAGGGGUUCUGAGAGGAAGGUCCCCCACAUUGGAACUGAGACACGGUCCAAACUCCUACGGGAGGCAGCAGUGAGGAAUAUUGGUCAAUGGGCGAGAGCCUGAACCAGCCAAGUAGCGUGAAGGAUGACUGCCCUAUGGGUUGUAAACUUCUUUUAUAAAGGAAUAAAGUCGGGUAUGGAUACCCGUUUGCAUGUACUUUAUGAAUAAGGAUCGGCUAACUCCGUGCCAGCAGCCGCGGUAAUACGGAGGAUCCGAGCGUUAUCCGGAUUUAUUGGGUUUAAAGGGAGCGUAGAUGGAUGUUUAAGUCAGUUGUGAAAGUUUGCGGCUCAACCGUAAAAUUGCAGUUGAUACUGGAUAUCUUGAGUGCAGUUGAGGCAGGCGGAAUUCGUGGUGUAGCGGUGAAAUGCUUAGAUAUCACGAAGAACUCCGAUUGCGAAGGCAGCCUGCUAAGCUGCAACUGACAUUGAGGCUCGAAAGUGUGGGUAUCAAACAGGAUUAGAUACCCUGGUAGUCCACACGGUAAACGAUGAAUACUCGCUGUUUGCGAUAUACUGCAAGCGGCCAAGCGAAAGCGUUAAGUAUUCCACCUGGGGAGUACGCCGGCAACGGUGAAACUCAAAGGAAUUGACGGGGGCCCGCACAAGCGGAGGAACAUGUGGUUUAAUUCGAUGAUACGCGAGGAACCUUACCCGGGCUUAAAUUGCAGAUGAAUUACGGUGAAAGCCGUAAGCCGCAAGGCAUCUGUGAAGGUGCUGCAUGGUUGUCGUCAGCUCGUGCCGUGAGGUGUCGGCUUAAGUGCCAUAACGAGCGCAACCCUUGUUGUCAGUUACUAACAGGUUCCGCUGAGGACUCUGACAAGACUGCCAUCGUAAGAUGUGAGGAAGGUGGGGAUGACGUCAAAUCAGCACGGCCCUUACGUCCGGGGCUACACACGUGUUACAAUGGGGGGUACAGAGGGCCGCUACCACGCGAGUGGAUGCCAAUCCCCAAAACCUCUCUCAGUUCGGACUGGAGUCUGCAACCCGACUCCACGAAGCUGGAUUCGCUAGUAAUCGCGCAUCAGCCACGGCGCGGUGAAUACGUUCCCGGGCCUUGUACACACCGCCCGUCAAGCCAUGGGAGCCGGGGGUACCUGAAGUGCGUAACCGCGAGGAGCGCCCUAGGGUAAAACUGGUGACUGG
rnacentral:rRNA from 1 species